CUCUAGAGAUAGAGCUUUCCCCUUCGGGGGACAAAGUGACAGGUGGUGCAUGGUUGUCGUCAGCUCGUGUCGUGAGAUGUUGGGUUAAGUCCCGCAACGAGCGCAACCCUUAAGCUUAGUUGCCAUCAUUAAGUUGGGCACUCUAGGUUGACUGCCGGUGACAAACCGGAGGAAGGUGGGGAUGACGUCAAAUCAUCAUGCCCCUUAUGAUUUGGGCUACACACGUGCUACAAUGGACAAUACAAAGGGCAGCUAAACCGCGAGGUCAUGCAAAUCCCAUAAAGUUGUUCUCAGUUCGGAUUGUAGUCUGCAACUCGACUACAUGAAGCUGGAAUCGCUAGUAAUCGUAGAUCAGCAUGCUACGGUGAAUACGUUCCCGGGUCUUGUACACACCGCCCGUCACACCACGAGAGUUUGUAACACCCGAAGCCGGUGGAGUAACCAUUUAUGGAGCUAGCCGUCGAAGGUGGGACAAAUGAUUGGGGUGAAGUCGUAACAAGGUAGCCGUAUCGGAA
rnacentral:rRNA from 1 species